rnacentral:lncRNA from 1 species
UCGGUGUCAGGAUUACACAGACCUUUGUACUACUGCGGCUCCUCACUCCCGCUGGCUAAUACUCGUUUUCCCUACCUACCUGUACAGCAGCGUGGAAUAAAAGGGUGUGCACGAGUAUGUCUACCUCUGCCCGCAGGGAGAACCGCCAGGUGGGCUCACCAGCCAGCUUUGGGGUCCCUGCCGGGCCGGCCGCCCGCAGCCGGCCCAGCUGAUCGCGCCCACGUGACACCCGCCAGCCAAUUGCCUGGCGCAAGGCGGAGAGCGCGGCGGUGGCGGGGCCUCCUCGGCACAACAAACACAGGCGGAACAGCUGGGCGGGCGCGGGCUCCGGGGCGCCUAGCAGCCGCAGGCUCCCCAGCAGUGUCCCCACGCCCAGGGUCCGAAGGGAUCGCAGGGCAGUAUGCCAGGGGCCGGGCACCUAAGCGGGCAUGGCCCACAGCCGAAGCACCGGGGCGCGAGUCCGGCCUCCGCAGCCGGCUGGGUGCGAGCGCGGCCCUGGAGCGCGGGCCCGCGGGCCGACCCGGAGCGGAGCCCGGGCGCGCCCCCGACGCUGCGGCGGGGACGGCAGCCGUGGGGCGGGGCGGCCUAGGAAGUGGGGGUGUCACCGGGCGAGCUGUCGGCGGACCGGCGGCCGCGGAGUCGGUCACCGAGGGUGACGGGAGGCGGGUGGGGAUCGCGGGUCGCCCAGGGGUCGCGGCUGUUGCGGGCUCGCGGGGCGCUCGGCUGCGCGGCGGGGCGGGCCGACGGCGGCCGCCGCGCCGCAGCCUCACAAAGAGCGACGGCCCGGCCCGCGGCCCCACGGUCCUGAGGGGCCCUGGUGGCCCCGCCGGGACCCCGGACGAGUGGCGAGGGGAAGAGGCACUUCCUGCCUGGGCCCCCGCCCCGGGCCGCUCCCCGAAGGCUUCGAAGCCGCCGGCCCGAGGGCUCCGAGUGCCCGCCGACUCCGAGCCCAGCGCCUGCCGCCGUACUCACCUGCGCGCUGGGGAGAUCGGCGCUGCCAGCAGCUCUUCGCUCCUCAGCUGGGUCGAAGCCCCUCGGCCUCCAAGUCUUCAGGUUUAG